rnacentral:SRP_RNA from 1 species
GCCGGGCGUGGUGGCGUGUGCCUGUAGUCCCAGCUACUCAGGAGGCUGAGGCAGGAGAAUCGCUUGAACCUGGGAGGCGGAGGUUGCAGUGAGCUGAGAUCAUGCCACUGCACUCCCGCCUGGGCGACAGAGCGAGACUCCGUCUCAA